rnacentral:rRNA from 1 species
UCGGGAUAAGCCUGGGAAACUGGGUCUAAUACCGGAUAGGACCAUGCUUUAGUGUGUGUGGUGGAAAGUUUUUCGGUGUAGGAUGAGCCCGCGGCCUAUCAGCUUGUUGGUGGGGUAAUGGCCUACCAAGGCGGCGACGGGUAGCCGGACUGAGAGGUUGGUCGGCCACAUUGGGACUGAGAUACGGCCCAG